UACGUAGGGUGCGAGCGUUAAUCGGAAUUACUGGGCGUAAAGCGUGCGCAGGCGGCUUUGCAAGCCAGACGUGAAAGCCCCGGGCUUAACCUGGGAAUGGCGUUUGGGACUGCAAGGCUGGAGUGCGGCAGAGGGAACUGGAAUUCCUGGUGUAGCAGUGAAAUGCGUAGAUAUCAGGAGGAACACCGAUGGCGAAGGCAGGUUCCUGGGCCAGCACUGACGCUCAUGCACGAAAGCGUGGGGAGCAAACAGG
rnacentral:rRNA from 1 species